rnacentral:lncRNA from 1 species
UCCAACCUGCCGCCAAGUGGAAAUAGUCUGUGUGGCGCUCGUAAAUAGAGAGCAUUCUGGUAGAAAGGUACAUGAAAGAAUAGGAAAACUUCUGUCAUUUUCUUUGGUCUCUGAAAAAUAAAUGGUGACAUGGGCUGAUACAUUGCUAAAUUACAUGAUACAAACUCACUUCUCUAUUUUGAUUUUUGGUUUACUUCUUGUGCUACAAUGGCUCUCCUAGGAAUGUUCUUCCAUGCUUUGAUGUGCACAAUCCAGAAAGUGCAUGCAUCUAGAAACCAAAUAGGAUUUUUUGUGUGUUAUCUUCUCAUAAAUCUUGUGCUCGUCCAAUAAGAAUAAGGUUUGGUGGUAUUGCUUUUGCCUGUCACCCGAUAGAUUUCAAGACUUCAAGCUAGCUACAGUUAUUUGAGGUUAUAUGUGAAAAUCCUUGGUGUGACAUGAUUGGUAACUAACCAUGAAUACGUUGCAAUCUGAUAUGUCUAAUUCUUGAUUUAUGUGGUACCAUGGUCUAAAAUUGGUCCUAAAGAUACAUGAUGUUUUUGUACAAAGUUGAGACAGUUAUUUUGGAACAGAGGGAGUAUUGGAUUAUUGUGUUCCCUUUUAAUUUGGUUCUAAAGAUAUAGUUUCAGAGUGAUCAUUUUGCAUCAGCCAAGCUUGCCGUUGUUACAAAUAAUUGUUCUGUUGUCCUCAAUUCACUUUCUCGGUUUUUUAGUGCUACAAGCAUUAUUGUUCCAGUUUUUUUAGUUAUUGAUCAUGCCAUUUUUCUUUCUUCCUUUGUAGCUGGGAGAUUAGUGAGACUGGCUAAAUUCUGAACAUGUUCCAUGUGAGAGAAAUAGCAUGUUGAUUUCAUCUUGAAAUAAUCAUAGCUGAGGGACGAGGUUCGUAACUGAGGGUCAUGUGCAGAGCUGGAGGAAGAAGUUGCGAGGCUUGGAACUCUCCUUGUGAAGGGCUCACGGACAACAGUGAGGACAAUGCCUCUUUAGUGGUAAUUGUGAUACUCCUGAUGUGCAAGUAAACACUCAUGUGAUACUCCUUAUGCUAAAAUGUUGGUUGUUAGUACAGAGGUGGUGACAUUAUUUGGUUCACUGGUAU